rnacentral:tRNA from 1 species
GGGGUCGUCAGCUAGCAUGGUUCAGGCUACACGGCUCGGGCCCGUGAAAUCAUGGGUUCAAAUCCCAUCGACCCCA